rnacentral:piRNA from 7 species
UGGUGUAAUGGUUAGCACUCUGGACU